rnacentral:rRNA from 1 species
UACGUAGGUGGCAAGCGUUAUCCGGAAUUACUGGGUGUAAAGGGAGCGCAGGCGGGACUGCAAGUCAGCGGUGAAAAUUAUGGGCUCAACCCAUAGACUGCCGUUGAAACUGUAGUUCUUGAGUGGAGUAGAGGCAGGCGGAAUUCCGAGUGUAGCGGUGAAAUGCGUAGAUAUUCGGAGGAACACCAGUGGCGAAGGCGGCCUGCUGGGCUCUAACUGACGCUGAGGCUCGAAAGUGUGGGGAGCAAAC